UAUAAUGCAGUCGACGAACUCUGGUAUUGAUUGGUGCUUGCAUCAUGAUUUACAUUUGAGUGAGUGGCGAACUGGUGAGUAACACGUGGGAAACCUGCCCAGAAGCGGGGGAUAACACCUGGAAACAGAUGCUAAUACCGCAUAACAACUUGGACCGCAUGGUCCGAGUUUGAAAGAUGGCUUCGGCUAUCACUUUUGGAUGGUCCCGCGGCGUAUUAGCUAGAUGGUGGGGUAACGGCUCACCAUGGCAAUGAUACGUAGCCGACCUGAGAGGGUAAUCGGCCACAUUGGGACUGAGACACGGCCCAAACUCCUACGGGAGGCAGCAGUAGGGAAUCUUCCACAAUGGACGAAAGUCUGAUGGAGCAACGCCGCGUGAGUGAAGAAGGGUUUCGGCUCGUAAAACUCUGUUGUUAAAGAAGAACAUAUCUGAGAGUAACUGUUCAGGUAUUGACGGUAUUUAACCAGAAAGCCACGGCUAACUACGUGCCAGCAGCCGCGGUAAUACGUAGGUGGCAAGCGUUGUCCGGAUUUAUUGGGCGUAAAGCGAGCGCAGGCGGUUUUUUAAGUCUGAUGUGAAAGCCUUCGGCUCAACCGAAGAAGUGCAUCGGAAACUGGGAAACUUGAGUGCAGAAGAGGACAGUGGAACUCCAUGUGUAGCGGUGAAAUGCGUAGAUAUAUGGAAGAACACCAGUGGCGAAGGCGGCUGUCUGGUCUGUAACUGACGCUGAGGCUCGAAAGUAUGGGUAGCAAACAGGAUUAGAUACCCUGGUAGUCCAUACCGUAAACGAUGAAUGCUAAGUGUUGGAGGGUUUCCGCCCUUCAGUGCUGCAGCUAACGCAUUAAGCAUUCCGCCUGGGGAGUACGGCCGCAAGGCUGAAACUCAAAGGAAUUGACGGGGGCCCGCACAAGCGGUGGAGCAUGUGGUUUAAUUCGAAGCUACGCGAAGAACCUUACCAGGUCUUGACAUACUAUGCAAAUCUAAGAGAUUAGACGUUCCCUUCGGGGACAUGGAUACAGGUGGUGCAUGGUUGUCGUCAGCUCGUGUCGUGAGAUGUUGGGUUAAGUCCCGCAACGAGCGCAACCCUUAUUAUCAGUUGCCAGCAUUAAGUUGGGCACUCUGGUGAGACUGCCGGUGACAAACCGGAGGAAGGUGGGGAUGACGUCAAAUCAUCAUGCCCCUUAUGACCUGGGCUACACACGUGCUACAAUGGAUGGUACAACGAGUUGCGAACUCGCGAGAGUAAGCUAAUCUCUUAAAGCCAUUCUCAGUUCGGAUUGUAGGCUGCAACUCGCCUACAUGAAGUCGGAAUCGCUAGUAAUCGCGGAUCAGCAUGCCGCGGUGAAUACGUUCCCGGGCCUUGUACACACCGCCCGUCACACCAUGAGAGUUUGUAACACCCAAAGUCGGUGGGGUAACC
rnacentral:rRNA from 2 species